CUCAGGACGAACGCUGGCGGCGUGCCUAAUACAUGCAAGUCGAACGCUUCUUUUUCCACCGGAGCUUGCUCCACCGGAAAAAGAGGAGUGGCGAACGGGUGAGUAACACGUGGGUAACCUGCCCAUCAGAAGGGGAUAACACUUGGAAACAGGUGCUAAUACCGUAUAACAAUCGAAACCGCAUGGUUUUGAUUUGAAAGGCGCUUUCGGGUGUCGCUGAUGGAUGGACCCGCGGUGCAUUAGCUAGUUGGUGAGGUAACGGCUCACCAAGGCGACGAUGCAUAGCCGACCUGAGAGGGUGAUCGGCCACAUUGGGACUGAGACACGGCCCAAACUCCUACGGGAGGCAGCAGUAGGGAAUCUUCGGCAAUGGACGAAAGUCUGACCGAGCAACGCCGCGUGAGUGAAGAAGGUUUUCGGAUCGUAAAACUCUGUUGUUAGAGAAGAACAAGGAUGAGAGUAACUGUUCAUCCCUUGACGGUAUCUAACCAGAAAGCCACGGCUAACUACGUGCCAGCAGCCGCGGUAAUACGUAGGUGGCAAGCGUUGUCCGGAUUUAUUGGGCGUAAAGCGAGCGCAGGCGGUUUCUUAAGUCUGAUGUGAAAGCCCCCGGCUCAACCGGGGAGGGUCAUUGGAAACUGGGAGACUUGAGUGCAGAAGAGGAGAGUGGAAUUCCAUGUGUAGCGGUGAAAUGCGUAGAUAUAUGGAGGAACACCAGUGGCGAAGGCGGCUCUCUGGUCUGUAACUGACGCUGAGGCUCGAAAGCGUGGGGAGCAAACAGGAUUAGAUACCCUGGUAGUCCACGCCGUAAACGAUGAGUGCUAAGUGUUGGAGGGUUUCCGCCCUUCAGUGCUGCAGCUAACGCAUUAAGCACUCCGCCUGGGGAGUACGACCGCAAGGUUGAAACUCAAAGGAAUUGACGGGGGCCCGCACAAGCGGUGGAGCAUGUGGUUUAAUUCGAAGCAACGCGAAGAACCUUACCAGGUCUUGACAUCCUUUGACCACUCUAGAGAUAGAGCUUCCCCUUCGGGGGCAAAGUGACGGGUGGUGCAUGGUUGUCGUCAGCUCGUGUCGUGAGAUGUUGGGUUAAGUCCCGCAACGAGCGCAACCCUUAUUGUUAGUUGCCAUCAUUUAGUUGGGCACUCUAGCAAGACUGCCGGUGACAAACCGGAGGAAGGUGGGGAUGACGUCAAAUCAUCAUGCCCCUUAUGACCUGGGCUACACACGUGCUACAAUGGGAAGUACAACGAGUCGCAAAGUCGCGAGGCUAAGCUAAUCUCUUAAAGCUUCUCUCAGUUCGGAUUGUAGGCUGCAACUCGCCUACAUGAAGCCGGAAUCGCUAGUAAUCGCGGAUCAGCACGCCGCGGUGAAUACGUUCCCGGGCCUUGCACUCACCGCCCGUCAA
rnacentral:rRNA from 1 species